CCGGAGAGAGGAGCGGGAAGGCUGAGGCAGCAGAAGAGGAGCGUGGCAUGAGAGAGAGAACGCGGGCCAUGAGUGGGCCGGCGCACUCCCACGCCCCAGACUGCUACGUGCUUCCCCGCCCCUACGCCGUCGCCAAGGCAACCAGGCAGACCCAGCAAGCCAUUUUUCCUCCCUUCACUACUGCCCUGCUACCCGGCUCCUAGCCUUUCUCCUGUCCUCACAGAGGCCCCACCAAAAUCCUCCCAGCUACCAAAUGGCACAAAUCCUCUCUGUUACCUGCGCACUGAGGGAGGGGCAAGCUGCUCCCCGACUCCCCUGCCUGUUCAGCUAACAGAAUAACUUGCAUUUUGCAGCCCGCCUGUACUUAGUCUGUGCUUAGCCUGUCUUUAGCCUGUGCUUUUAAGUUGCACCUCCGUCCAGACUGUUUUUUCAGGUUCAGACGUGUUCUCAGGGCAGCUGACCUUUCUGCCUUCCUCUGCUGUGCUUCAGUUACUCUGUCGUUAACCCUUAACGUGAAAUUUAUCAUCCUGAGAUUGUGCACGCAGACUCCUGCGUGCUAUUUAAAUUAGCUUUCCAGUGAAAGAGUUCCAAAGGGGCGGAAGAUGAGAUAUACAACCUGUAGCGUUUGUUGUUUUGAAGACAGAGACUAUCCACGUAGCCCAGACUGGCCACAAACUUGGAAUCCUUCUGCCUGUGUAUAGAUCAACUUUUGCUUUGUGAUGUUGAAUUCUGUUAACUAUCAAGGCUAUGUGACAUAGGAAGACUCAGCCUAAAUGUGGGUCCCAGCCCAAUUGGGAGUGGAAGGGAAACCUUCUGAAGCACAUAGCUGUAUGCAGUCAUCAUGACCUGCCCCCUCGGAAGCUUUGUUCUCCCCCAGUUGAAGCUUGGUGCUUAUGAUACACCGGUUUCUUCUCCAACCCCGGCAGCCAUUGGUGCUUAUUAUACAUCAUUUUCUCCAACCCCAGCAACCAUCAUUCUAGUUUCUCUGUCUAUGGCCUUGUCUGCCGUAGGCACUGCUCAUAAAUAUAAAUAAAUAGAGCUUUUAAAAAAAGG